rnacentral:rRNA from 1 species
GCAUCAGGUAACAUCAAAUCGUACCCCAAACCGACACAGGUGGUCAGGUAGAGAAUACCAAGGCGCUUGAGAGAACUCGGGUGAAGGAACUAGGCAAAAUGGUGCCGUAACUUCGGGAGAAGGCACGCUGACAUGUAGGUGAAGUGAUUUACUCAUGGAGCUGAAGUCAGUCGAAGAUACCAGCUGGCUGCAACUGUUUAUUAAAAACACAGCACUGUGCAAACACGAAAGUGGACGUAUACGGUGUGACGCCUGCCCGGUGCCGGAAGGUUAAUUGAUGGGGUCAGCGCAAGCGAAGCUCCUGAUCGAAGCCCCGGUAAACGGCGGCCGUAACUAUAACGGUCCUAAGGUAGCGAAAUUCCUUGUCGGGUAAGUUCCGACCUGCACGAAUGGCGUAAUGAUGGCCAGGCUGUCUCCACCCGAGACUCAGUGAAAUUGAACUCGCUGUGAAGAUGCAGUGUACCCGCGGCAAGACGGAAAGACCCCGUGAACCUUUACUAUAGCUUGACACUGAACAUUGAGCCUUGAUGUGUAGGAUAGGUGGGAGGCUUUGAAGUGUGGACGCCAGUCUGCAUGGAGCCGACCUUGAAAUACCACCCUUUAAUGUUUGAUGUUCUAACGUGGACCCGUAAUCCGGGUUGCGGACAGUGUCUGGUGGGUAGUUUGACUGGGGCGGUCUCCUCCUAAAGAGUAACGGAGGAGCACGAAGGUUGGCUAAUCCUGGUCGGACAUCAGGAGGUUAGUGCAAUGGCAUAAGCCAGCUUGACUGCGAGCGUGACGGCGCGAGCAGGUGCGAAAGCAGGUCAUAGUGAUCCGGUGGUUCUGAAUGGAAGGGCCAUCGCUCAACGGAUAAAAGGUACUCCGGGGAUAACAGGCUGAUACCGCCCAAGAGUUCAUAUCGACGGCGGUGUUUGGCACCUCGAUGUCGGCUCAUCACAUCCUGGGGCUGAAGUAGGUCCCAAGGGUAUGGCUGUUCGCCAUUUAAAGUGGUACGCGAGCUGGGUUUAGAACGUCGUGAGACAGUUCGGUCCCUAUCUGCCGUGGGCGCUGGAGAACUGAGGGGGGCUGCUCCUAGUACGAGAGGACCGGAGUGGACGCAUCACUGGUGUUCGGGUUGUCAUGCCAAUGGCACUGCCCGGUAGCUAAAUGCGGAAGAGAUAAGUGCUGAAAGCAUCUAAGCACGAAACUUGCCCCGAGAUGAGUUCUCCCUGAGACUUAGAGUCUCCUGAAGGAACGUUGAAGACGACGACGUUGAUAGGCCGGGUGUGUAAGCGCAGCGAUGCGUUGAGCUAACCGGUACUAAUGAACCGUGAGGCUUAACCUUACA